rnacentral:rRNA from 1 species
UACGUAGGGGGCUAGCGUUGUCCGGAAUCAUUGGGCGUAAAGCGCGCGUAGGCGGCCCGAUAAGUCUGCUGUGAAAGUCCAGGGCUCAACCCUGGAAUGCCGGUGGAUACUGUCGGGCUAGAGUUCGGAAGAGGCAAGUGGAAUUCCUGGUGUAGCGGUGGAAUGCGUAGAGAUCCGGAAGAACACCGGAGGCGAAGGCGGCUUGCUGGGCUCGGUCUGACGCUGAGGCGCGAAAGCGUGGGGAGCGAACAGG